rnacentral:rRNA from 1 species
ACUCCUACGGGAGGCAGCAGUGGGGAAUCUUGGACAAUGGGGGAAACCCUGAUCCAGCAAUGCCGCGUGUGGGAUGAAGGCCCUCGGGUUGUAAACCACUUUUGGCAGGAAAGAAAUCGCCUGUGCUAAUACCAUGGGCGGAUGACGGUACCUGCAGAAUAAGCACCGGCUAACUACGUGCCAGCAGCCGCGGUAAU